rnacentral:rRNA from 1 species
UACGUAGGGUGCAGGCGUUAAUCGGAAUUACUGGGCGUAAAGCGUGCGCAGGCGGUUUUGUAAGCCAGAUGUGAAAUCCCCGGGCUCAACCUGGGAACUGCAUCUGUGACUGCAUCGCUGGAGUGCGGCAGAGGGGGAUGGAAUUCCGCGUGUAGCAGUGAAAUGCGUAGAUAUGCGGAGGAACACCGAUGGCGAAGGCAAUCCCCUGGGCCUGCACUGACGCUCAUGCACGAAAGCGUGGGGAGCAAACAGG